CAAGGCUUAACUUUACCAACGAAGGACGCCCAGUAUACGCCAGCGACACAACAAAUGACUUUCUCUACUGCUUCGGUGAUGGCUCGUCACUAUGUCACUGGUUCAUAGGACCAAAAGUCGGCAGUAUUCUUAUUGCGCUCUUUGCAUCUGAUAGCAAUCUUGUUGCCGAGCAAAUCACGUCAACUUGGCAUAUCUAUAAUGGUCACUACUUUCAACCAGCACCUGAGGUCAAGAUCACAUGCUCCUACACAUCAAUUUUUUGUCCAGGAACUACAUCGUCGAGAAUCUCGACUAUGCGAAAUUCAACACCCGCAACAGCUGUCUCCCCGAUAGCUACAUCGCCGUCCUUCUCAAUCACGCCACCAUGCGAUGAAAUAGAAAAACACAAGCUCGAGACUGACUUGGAUAACCAACGUUAUAUCCUUUUUGGGGUUAGUGGCUUUGCUGGGCUGUUGCUUGUGAUAACCCUAGGGCUAGUUGUGAAAUUGGUAUCAAUGCGUCGCCGUAUGAAGGACAUGUCAACAGCGCACCUAACGACACCGGCCUUCACUGCACAUCAAUACAACUUCUUACCAGGGACGAAGGACUAUGCUUACGCCGAAGGGAAUGGUACGAACGUCGAGGUAGACUCGCCACCUCCACCGCCUGUUGCGAACCGUCCCCCGUUAUGGAAUACAGGGGAUGGGAGUCGGAUAGUGCAACCAACGGACUGUUGUCAAGAGGCACCCAAGAAGAUGCGCUACUCGAUGCGUGCAGAGCUACAAAGUCAAGGCGAAAUUGAAGGACGACCAGAUGGAGAUGACAAUGUCUACCGGGAGUUGAAGUAAGUUUAAGAUAUUGAGACAUUUGGCAUC